rnacentral:snRNA from 1 species
GCCCGGUCGUACUCAUAACC